rnacentral:rRNA from 1 species
UAGCCGUAAACGAUACUCGCUAGGUGUCGGCCACGGUGCGACCGUUGUCGGUGCCGUAGGGAAGCCGUGAAGCGAGCCACCUGGGAAGUACGGCCGCAAGGCUGAAACUUAAAGGAAUUGGCGGGGGAGGCACCACAACGGGUGGAGCUUGCGGUUUAAUUGGAUUCAACGCCGGAAAUCUUACCGGGACCGACAGCAACAUGAAGGCCAGGCUGAAGACUUUGCCGGAUUAGCUGAGAGGAGGUGCAUGGCGUAGUCGUG